GCGCAACCUUAAUCAAGAUAUUGCAGAAAAAGAAAUCAUCUUUAUUACCUCCGUAAAACAUCUCAAAUGUCAUGAUUUUAUUACUUAAUCUCGGACAUUUUUUUUUUGGUGAUCGAUUUGCAUGCGUCAAAUGAUAUUGUAUUGGAUAUCUCGAAUGCUAGCGUGUUUUUAUCCUUUCCCGUUAUGAGCUUGUUGCUUCUCUAUUGCUCAUAAAUGUUGUUUUCCUGGUAAUAUAAAUGAUAAUAUUAGGCCUGUAUUAUAUACUGUCCCACUUUUGGUGACGGGCCUCUUCUACUACUGAGAGGGAUUAGGCCUUAGUUCACCACGCUGGCCUAGUGCGGAUUGGUAGACUUCACACACCCUCGAAAACUCCUAUAGAGAAUUUCUCAGGUAUGCAGGUUUCCUCACGAUGUUUUCCUUCACCGUUAAAGCAAGCGAUAAUUCACAAAGAAUACACACAUAUUUCUUUGUGAAAUUUCCUGAUAUUUUUUGUUGGAUAUUAAUAACUUUACAUAGAUCACAUUCCUAUGUGAUGUCAUUUAGUUAGAUUACUUUUUGUGUUGCCAACUAAAAAGAAUUCAUAUUGAUACUCGUUAAAUUAUGCAUUUAAUUAUAUAUGAUACAUUGUAUGUAAGUUCUUUGAGAUCAAGAUAUUAGUUAUUAAAUACCAUUCGAGCAUGCCUUAUACUUCCUGCACACUUAUCUAUCUAUUCAUGCAUUCCUGGUUAGUCAAUGUGCUUUUGUGUUGCUAAAUUUAAUAAUCUUUAAAUAAGAUAUGUUAAUGAAUUGAAAUGAUAGGCAACUAUGAGGAAAAAUUGGAUAUUCAUUUGUUUUGAUUGAAUAUACGUUCGUCGGAAAUUAACACCGUUUUGCUAUAUGUGCGUCAAAAUAUACCAAUGGCUAUUCGUGUAAGACUAUUAUCAAUGAAAUAUAUGAUUAAUGCUGGUGGUGGUAUAUAUUUCAUAUCCGCCCGGAUAGCGAUCAUUGUACACAAGGUGUUAAUACCCAUAGUAGGUCACUUUAGUGUUACGUUCCGGGAUCAGCCUGUGUAUAUCCGGUUCCAACAGGCCGUCAUAAUUGUAUCGACUGACAUUCUAUUGGUCAUCACUCAAAAUCAAGUCAAAUUGGCCAUGCCCAUACAAAAAAAAUCUGAACUAUCUACAUUUAAAAUAAUAAAUUGUGUGGUUAACAAAGACUUCUAAUGUCAUACGAGGAUGCGUGUGAUUAAAGGCAAACAAAAAAGGUUUCUAAUGUCAUACGAAGAUGCUCGCAACGAAAUCGUGUCGAUUAACAAAAAUUCUUGCGUUCCAGAUAUCGAUGUGUCGGAAACACGAGAAGAUGAAAAAACUACAAAAAAAACACAACCGACCGGCCAACCUGUUGCGGGAGACAUUUGGUCGUAGCGGCUGUUGACUUUUUGAGGUGCUUGUUGAACUGUUGGAAGGCCAGAUGGACGCGGUAUGGUCUCGCUUCUUGGACUUCGUGAAAGAUGCAAUGGUUGGGCC